rnacentral:lncRNA from 1 species
GAGAGCAAAUUAGAAUGCAAGGAAGUUGACAUGUCAUCACUUCAUUUUUUUGCGCCUGCGCAUAAAUCUGAGAAGCAAACCACAUUUGUUCCGGACCUGGGAUCCCUGGCAGUGCCUUCUGAUGGAGAUAAUCAAAGUUGAUGGAGAAGUUGGGACCAUUGUUCUCGGGAGUCACACAAUUCGUAGAGAAUAACAUCAGGAUCUGCUUAUCAUCCAACGACUGUUUUGUCAAGAUGCACCUUGUUCCCCGAGAAGGUGUCAGUUAUCCCAUCUACUCGACAGGGGGAGCCACAGUCCAUAUGGACUCAUUGGUGAUGAUGGUGGAAGACCCAUCAAGAUGAUGCGCAUGUGUGCUCAGCCCUCCUACCUGAUCUACUCCAGACCCAGCAUCGCUCCUCGUUUUGCCGACCCUCCACGUAUCUGUUAUGUGAAGUACCCUGUGCCUACCUACAUAUGCUUAUGAUGAUUUUAAAGAUUGUAAACCCUUUUUCACUUCAUAUUAUGCACUUUAAACCUGUUUUCUCAAUGUUUACUUUGAAAAUAUAAGGUUCUGCUAUAGCUGUGUUUUGAUUGGUUAAUACAAUUUUGUCCAACACCAAAAAACUACUGUAUUUUCCUAGGUUAAAGUUGGACUCCUCCCUGUGUAUGAAUUAGUUGGUUGGUCAUCAUCAGUUUUUCAAUACAUUUAAUCCGUAUCAAAAUGAUCAUGUGUUUUCUCUCCCCUUCAUUUUAGAAAGAGAAUACAGUAUUUUGAAUAUGUCCUUCUAUUCUAACAUGAUAUUUGUUGUAGUUAGCAUGUUGUAUGUGAAAGAUUUGGUAAAACUGUAUCCAAAAACAAGGAGGGGAGGGGAGCAGAAUUGAACAACACAUUAUCACUUUGAUUUGAAUUCAAUAUUUUUGAAAAACUGGUCCCAUGACAAGAAUUUUAUUCAUCUAGGUUCCAGUAAUUUGUCCACUCAAGUCCUUUGUCCAUUUAGUUAAAAGGUGGGUGUGGCCAAAACUGUAAAUUCCAAACGUUCCAAUGUUAUAGCCCUGUGAAAAACAUCUACAUAUUUACUGCAUGCAAAUCACACAGGUAGCAUAAUCAUUAAGCCUGUUUUAACUGGACAAUUGAACCGCUAAAUGGGGUAGGACGAAUUAAAAUCAACCCAUAGAUUAAGUCUUGAUUCAAUCACAAGGCCUAUACAAUGUAGUUCAAGUUAAUUUGCCAACACCAAUUCCCCAUGCUAACAUUUUCUAUGGUUGAGAAUACUAUUUCAGUAGGCCUAUUCUCUCUUGUCAUGUGUAAUAUGCCUGGCCUAUUUAACUACACUGUAACUGCAUGUAAUAUGAUUAACCACUAGAUGACAGUAGUAAGCCUACUUGAACACUUUACCACAACCUUCAGCAAAGCCCUGGCAGAGUAUGCUAUGUAUUUUUAAAGUUGGUUCAGUCAUAACAUAAAGCAACUCCUUUGGCUUAAAAAAAGAACAGCAUUGUAUAUGAAAGCUACUCGAUGAAGUAGCUUGUUCAGCUAAUAUUAUUAUUCCCAUGAUUUUCAAUAAACAACGUAGGCCUAUAUGAAUUGGGAACCGUUGAAAGCAACUAACUAGCCUGGGUACCAGUCUGUUAAGCUAACAUUCCACUAGCCUGGGUACCAGUAUGUUAAGCUAACAUUCCACUAGUCUGGGUACCAGUCUGUUAAGCUAACAUUCCACUAGCCUGGGUACCAGUCUGUUAAGCUAACAUUCCACUAGCCUGAGUACCAGUAUGUUAAGCUAACAUUCCACUAGCCUGGGUACCAGUAUGUUAAGCUAACAUUCACUUCUUGUGCAUCGUGUCAUAUGUUUAGCAUGACAGGAGUGGAACGACAGCUAAACAGACUGGUAACAGACUAGUGGAACGAUAGCUAAACAGACUGGUACCAGACUAGUGGAACUAUAGCUAAACAGACUGGUAACAGACUAGUGGAAUGAUAGCUAAACAGACUGGUACCAGACUAGUGGAACUAUAGCUAAACAGACUGGUACCAGACGAGUGGAACGAUAGCUAAACAGACUGGAACCAGACCAGUGGAACGACAGCUAAACAGACUGGUAACAGACUAGUGGAACGAUAGCUAAACAGACUGGUAACAGACUAGCGGAACGAUAGCUAAACAGACUGGUAACAGACUAGUGGAACGAUAUCUAAACAGACUGGUAACAGACUAGCGGAACGAUAGCUAAACAGACUGGAACCAGACUAGUGGAACGAUAGCUAAACAGACUGGUAACAGACUAGCGGAAUGAUAGCUAAACAGACUGGUAACAGACUAGUGGAACGAUAUCUAAACAGACUGGUACCAGACUAGUAGAACAAUAGCUAAACAGACUGGUAACAGACUAGUGGAACGACAGCUAAACAGACUGGUAACAGACUAGUGGAACGAUAUCUAAACAGACUGGAAUCAGACUAGUGGAACAAUAGCUAAACAGACUGGAACCAGACUAGUGGAACUAUAGCUAAACAGACUGGUAACAGACUAGUGGAAUGAUAGCUAAACAGACUGGUAACAGACUAGUGGAACGAUAGCUAAACAGACUGGUAACAGAAUAGUGGAACGAUAGCUAAACAGACUGGUACCAGACUAGUGGAACGAUAGCUAAACAGACUGGUAACAGACUAGUGGAACGAUAUCUAAACAGACUGGUAACAGACUAGCGGAACGAUAUCUAAACAGACUGGUACCAGACUAGUGGAACGAUAGCUAAACAGACUGGUAACAGACUAGUGGAACGAUAUCUAAACAGACUGGUAACAGACUAGUGGAACGAUAGCUAAACAGACUGGUAACAGACUAGUGGAACGAUAUCUAAACAGACUGGUACCAGACUAGUGGAACGAUAUCUAAACAGACUGGUACCAGACUAGUGGAACGAUAGCUAAACAGACUGGAACCAGACUAGUGGAACGAUAGCUAAACAGACUGGUAACACACUAGUGGAACGAUAGCUAAACAGACUGGUAACAGACUAGUGGAACGAUAUCUAAACAGACUGGAACCAGACUAGUGGAACUAUCGCUAAACAGACUGGUAACAGACUAGUGGAACGAUAGCUAAACAGACUGGUAACAGACUAGUGGAACGAUAGCUAAACAGACUGGUAACAGACUAGUGGAACGAUAUCUAAACAGACUGGUACCAGACUAGUGGAACGAUAGCUAAACAGACUGGUAACAGACUAGUGGAACGAUAUCUAAACAGACUGGUACCAGACUAGUGGAACGAUAGCUAAACAGACUGGUAACAGACUAGUGGAACGAUAGCUAAACAGACUGGUAACAGACUAGUGGAACGAUAGCUAAACAGACUGGUACCAGACUAAUGGAACGAUAGCUAAACAGACUGGUACCAGACUAGUGGAACGAUAUCUAAACAGACUGGAACCAGACUAGUGGAACUAUCGCUAAACAGACUGGUAACAGACUAGUGGAACGAUAGCUAAACAGACUGGAACCAGACUAGUGGAACGAUAUCUAAACAGACUGGUACCAGACUAGUGGAACGAUAUCUAAACAGACUGGUACCAGACUAGUGGAACGAUAUCUAAACAGACUGGUACCAGACUAGUGGAACGAUAUCUAAACAGACUGGUACCAGACUA